AGUCAAGACCACCUAACCCAAGACCAAGACCAGAUCAAGACCUGCGCCCCACGCUACAUGACACAAUAAAAUGUGAAGUAUGAUACAAAUUGCUUCUCAAAUUGAUCUAAAAGAUUCACAUUCCCAUAAAAACACCUAGAUAUUAAAUAUUUGGAGCUGAAAUAAAUUAGAAUGAGUCAAU